rnacentral:rRNA from 1 species
UUUAAAUUGAGAGUUUGAUCCUGGCUCAGGACGAACGCUGGCGGCGUGCCUAACACAUGCAAGUCGAGCGAUGAAACUUCCUUCGGGAAGUGGAUUAGCGGCGGACGGGUGAGUAACACGUGGGUAACCUGCCUCAAAGAGUGGGAUAGCCUCCCGAAAGGGAGAUUAAUACCGCAUAACAUUAUUUUAUGGCAUCAUAAAAUAAUCAAAGGAGCAAUCCGCUUUGAGAUGGACCCGCGGCGCAUUAGCUAGUUGGUGAGGUAACGGCUCACCAAGGCAACGAUGCGUAGCCGACCUGAGAGGGUGAUCGGCCACAUUGGAACUGAGA